UUGAAGGACUAAAGUGCAAAUUUUGGAAAAUUGAGUUAGUGGAAUGCCACCUCCUACUUGGGUGGAUUGGUGGCAGCCAUGUGGGCUGCCACCUCAUGCUUGGGUGCUUGGAGACCCCUUUAUAAGGGGGCUGCAGCUCGUUUUGCUCCAUUUCACCUGCAGCAACUUGGGUUAGAGAGAGAAUCUAGAGAGAGAAAGUGUAGAUUUGAGUUCCUCGUAAUAGGCAAAGAUCGCCUACUUAGAAGAAACACAAAAAGGACGUCGGUGUAAGAUGCAGGUCAGAAGACCUAUGCAGGAAAGAAUGCUUGAGCAAUGCUUUACUGUGAUUGGAUGCUGUUUGCUCAUAUUGAAAGUCUUUUGAGGCCAUGCCUUUUGUAUCAAGACUACACCUUUUGUUGGAAUGAUGUAAUGUAUAUAUUUGUUAGAUACACUUGUAGUAUGGGCCACCCAUAGUAAACAAUGGGGUUGGGUAUAUGUAAAUUAAUGUUGUACAAGUUUCUUUUGUGAAACAAAACAUAUUUUGUUAACUUAAUAGUCACAAUGUUUAAUACAGAAUGUACUCUUUAUAACA